GCCCCCGUGGCCUAAUUGGAUAAGGCAUCAGACUUCUAAUCUGAGGAUUGUGGGUUCGAGUCCCACCGGGGUGG
rnacentral:tRNA from 1 species